rnacentral:rRNA from 1 species
GUGCCAGCAGCCGCGGUAAGACGAACCGUGCGAACGUUAUUCGGAAUCACUGGGCUUAAAGCGCGUGUAGGCGGCCCGGCACGUCAUCGGCUGAAAUCCCCCGGCUCAACCGGGGAACGGGCCAUGAUACGGCCGGGCUGGAGGGGGGUAGGGGGGACGGGAACUCACGGUGGAGCGGUGAAAUGCGUUGAGAUCGUGAGGAACGCCCGCGGCGAAAGCGCGUCCCUGGACCCCGCCUGACGCUGAGACGCGAAAGCCAGGGGAGCGAACGGGAUUAGAUACCCCAGUAGUCC